rnacentral:misc_RNA from 1 species
AACAAUAUUGUACGUCCUGAGUAGUCGUAGCAUUUGUUAUGACUGUUAAGAGAAGUAUGAAGAAAUAUGACAGAUUUGAUUUUCUUGUGUUGUAGUGAGUCAACAUGCUUGAUCCUACCUUACGUCUCUGUCACCUGUCACUCUACUCGAACAGCUGAGGUCUCAGUCAUGCUUGAGAGUCCCGACUGGUAGGAUCGUAUCGUCGAUAGAUAUUACAUUCGCUGUCGUAUCGACGCCAAGUGCUCGCAGUUAGUGACUCAUGGUAAAGCGGAGUGCAAAGGUGAACGAAGGGCACACGAAUGGGACUCCUAAAAGGACUGCAACUUGCAUUACGCAAAAAAGUCUUCAGAGGGCGGAGAAGGAUAAAAUUUACGGUAAUUCUUGGGUUCAACAGCCGUGUUGACACCUCCUCGAGAUCUACAGCUGGAUUUGGAUCCACGGGAUUCACGGUUGGGAGUUGAGGUACGAAUAUUCGACACCCCAGGAAUACCGAAGGGGAAACCUCACGGCGUCUGGA